GAUUGUUUCUUGAUUUCUAUCUUUCUGUGCUUUCUAGCUAUCGUCCUGACAAGAAUCAAUCAACAACAAUGACUCAUAUCCUUUGAUAUGUUUCACAAGGCUUGUAUUUUCUUUUAACGAACUAUGUUGAUCUUGGAUUGGAUUGUCUCGCCGUUUCGUUAGCUAGAAAAUCUGAGAGUAUUAUCUGGAAACUACUUGAUGCUUCUUCUUUUUCUCCUCCCUCCCCUCUUUGUUCUUUUGUUUAGCUUUAACUGAAGCGCACGUGGAAACCAGAGGGAUCGAGAUCGAGAACGAGCUCAAGCUAGGGCUACUACUAAAGGCAAGCAACCUAAGAACGAUGGUUUAACCCCUGAACAACGCCGGGAAAGAGAUGCAAAGGCAUUACAAGAGAAAGCAGCAAGGAAGGCAGCUCAAUCUGCAGGAGGGAAUAACGCAGUUGGUGGAGGCAAGAAAAAAUAGUGAAGGAUUCGCUGAAAUUUAAUUAUUUGUAUUUCAUAUUCUGAUGAUUUGAGUUUUGGGUUUAGAGUCCAUCUGUUGAUGUCGUUAAAGUAAACAUCGAUGUUUGCCUCAGGAACGUUCAUCCAUGGUGAUUUAUGAACCUUUGACUUCUAUCUCUCACGUGUGGAAUGCAAUUAAUUUUUACCAUUUCCUAAUGA